rfam:Schistosoma margrebowiei strain Zambia genome assembly, scaffold: SMRZ_scaffold0001214
AUCCAACUGAUGAGUCCCAAAUAGGGCGAAAUGUGCGUCCUCGAU